rnacentral:rRNA from 1 species
UACAGAGGUCUCAAGCGUUGUUCGGAUUCAUUGGGCGUAAAGGGUGCGUAGGCGGCGCGGUAAGUCGGGUGUGAAAUCUCGGGGCUUAACUCCGAAACUGCAUUCGAUACUGCCGUGCUUGAGGACUGGAAAGGAGACUGGAAUUUACGGUGUAGCGGUGAAAUGCGUAGAUAUCGUAAGGAAGACCAGUGGCGAAGGCGGGUCUCUGGACAGUUCCUGACGCUGAGGCACGAAGGUCAGGGGAGCAAACAGG